rnacentral:rRNA from 1 species
GACGAACGCUGGCGGCGUGCUUAACACAUGCAAGUCGAACGGAAAGGCCCUGCUUUUGUGGGGUGCUCGAGUGGCGAACGGGUGAGUAACACGUGAGUAACCUGCCCCUGACUUUGGGAGAACUUCAGGAAAGUGGGGCUAAUACCGGAUAGGAGCUCCUGCUGCAGGGUGGGGGUUGGUAAGUUUCGGUGGUUGGGGAUGGAAUAGCGGCUUAUCGGCUUGUUGGUGGGGUAGUGGCUUACCAAGGCUUUGACGGGUAGCCGGCCUGAGAGGGUGACCGGCCACAUUGGGACUGAGAUACGGCCCAGACUCCUAUGGGAGGCAGCAGUGCGGUAGAUUGCACAAUGGGCUGAAGCCUGAUGCAGCACCGCCGCGUGGGGGAUGACGUCCUUCGGGUUGUAAACCGCUUUCGCCUGUGACGAAGCGUUAGUGACGGUAAUGGGUAAAGAAGCACCGGCUAACUACGUG